rnacentral:rRNA from 1 species
CGUAGGCGGUUUACUAAGUCAGAUGUGAAAGCCCCGGGCUUAACCUGGGAACUGCAUUUGAUACUGGUAGGCUAGAGUAUGAUAGAGGGGGGUAGAAUUCCUGGUGUAGCGGUGAAAUGCGUAGAUAUCAGGAGGAAUACCAGUGGCGAAGGCGGCCCCCCUGGACCAAUACUGACGCUGAGGUACGAAAGCGUGGGUAGCGAACA